rnacentral:misc_RNA from 1 species
CCAAAUGUCCUUUGACAAGCUUUGCGCCGGGUGCAAACCCGACCGAAGUUCAAACCUUUUGUGAACAACAAAAAACCUUUUCGCUUCGGCAGCGGGUCGGGUCUUUGGCCUGACCGUCAGCCUGCCGGCAGCACCUUCAAAACUUGUUAUCCAACAUGUCUGAAAAACCAUUCUGUAUUUGAAUGAAAUUA